GGAAGGGCGACCGACCGUGGGGAGGAAGCGUGGAUCGCAACUGCGGGCCGAUGGACAAGAACCGGAUAUGAGGCGGUGCCGACCAGGGCGAGCGGGCAACGAACGGCGAAGUAAAUCCGGCGGUCGUGCAGUGAAGGAGUGCGUC
rnacentral:ncRNA from 1 species